GCCGAAUUGGUGUAGUGGCUUAACAUUUGACGUUCUCGCAGCUGAAAAGCACCGAGCUCGUCAAGCCCGGGGUUCGAUUCCCCGAUUCGGAG